AGCGCGCUCCAUUGACAAGAUUCCUUGUGGACUCCUCUCGGGUAACACACAUGAACAUUAUUUUUAUUUUAUUUCUUUAUUUUCUUCGGAUUUUCUGAUUUAAAAAGUUUGUUAAUUAUUUUAUUAUUUAAUUUAUUGUUUAC
ensembl:ncRNA C24D10.47 ncRNA